UUUGGAAAGUUCCCUGCACCCUCCCUUUGAGUAGUCUUGAAGCCUCUCUUCCGACCAUUUCCAAAUGUCUCGAACAGACGUGUUUCUUCAAGGUAAUCUCAGCCAGUUUGGCCGUGUCUACCAAUCAGCACGUUACUUGAAGCUUUUUCAAUCCAAUUGGCGCAGAUUCUUGAAGCUGAGCGCGAGUCGUCUCCUUUUUGAGGCCCUAAUUGGUCUCUUUCUGCUACCAAAAUGAUUAAAAAAAGAAUCCCAACAUGACAUUCAGGGCGGUGCAGAUGAUGCGUUGCUAUUUUAAAAGCUACAAGACCUUCCACACGUGUGUUUUUGUAGCAUUAGUUUAGAGAACCAGAGACAGUGCUACAACUACAAAUAAACCUCACUGUUCCAUAUCAUUG
rnacentral:lncRNA from 1 species